rnacentral:misc_RNA from 1 species
CGUGGUCCUGCACCAGUACUGAUGUGAGAGGUAGUGGAGGUGAACAUGCCGCUGCUCCCUGUGCAAGAGUUAGAGCUAUCUUCUCAAAUUCUUUCUUCAUCACUUCUUCAUCGAUACCCAGCGAGCAAACCUGAAUAAUAAGCAUGACCUCUGCAAUUUGGGCUUUGGGAAUCUCAGUUGCACCUACUUGGUUUGGAUUCCUUCCCUCUCGGACCGUGAG